AUCGUGGUGGUCUCUCUCCUUCAGAAAUACAGAACAUCCUUUACAAAUCUCACAUCUGCUCUUCAAUGGCAUUUAAUGCUGGUGGAUGUCUUCAGGUCUGAGGGAAAGAGCCAUGCGAGCAAUGAGGAAACAAAGGACAAAGACAUGGAAAUUAAAUGACAAGCAGAAAAAAUUUGUUUUAAAAGGGCCACGCAAUUAGAGAAAAUGUUCAUAUUUAUAGAAAUAGUUGAAGCAGCUCAACAACUAUAAAUGAACUGAGAUGGACAGAUUCCUGCACGAGUCGGAGAGAUGAUUUCUGGACUUGAAUCCUGUUGCUUCAGGGUGACGACCGGUCGCCACGAGAUCAUGGAGAUGUCACUCACAGGAAGGGUGGCAGAUAUGCGCCGAGAUUCACUUUGCUACCUGGAGACCGACAGCCUCGCUGCUCAGCCAAUCAGAGGCUGUGAAAAACAGCCUCCUGCUCCUCCAUUGGUCCCCUGAUCCCCGGAGUUCAUUCCUCUAUCAAUGCCUUGUCAUUGUGUCGUCUGGCACUGCCAAAGCCAAUUAUACUGCCCCCUUUUCUUCUAUUCGGAGCCCUUUUCUCUCGUAGACCCCCUUCACACUUUUAACACCAUGAACACACACACACACACACACACAGAAACUGACACAUGCAUACCAAUCUCCUCUAGCUCCUCAGAAUGUCAUGAUGGAGUCUGGGAAUCAGGAGGACCUGAAACUCAUAGUAAUGAGACUUCUACAUAUAGAUCGCUGGUAACCCUCAUAUCUGAAAACUAUUAGAAUAAAUAAUAAUGGAGCUGCAAUAUAAAUACGUUAAGUAUUUUAAGUUUUUCUCCCUAGUUUUUUUCCUCAGUACCAUCUU